GCUCCCAAGGCGUAGUGGUCACUGCGCUCGCCUUGCACGCGGGAGACCCGGGUUCGAUUCCCGGCGGAAUCA
rnacentral:tRNA from 1 species